rnacentral:rRNA from 1 species
GACGAACGCUGGCGGCGUGCUUAACACAUGCAAGUCGAACGAAGUGGCGAACGGGUGAGUAACGCGUAAUCAACCUGCCAUUCAGAGGGGGACAACAGUUGGAAACGACUGCUAAUACCGCAUACUGAAGGAGGGGAUUGCGUCUGAUAAGCAAGUUGGGGUGGUAACGGCCCACCAAGGCGAAGAUCAGUAGCCCGUCUUGAAGGAUGACCGGCCACAUUUGGACUGGGACCCGGCCCCGGCUCCUACGGGAGGCAGCAGUGGGGAAUCUUCCGCAAUGGACGAAAGUCUGACGGAGCAACGCCGCGUGAAUGAUGACGGCCUUCGGGUUGUAAAGCUCUGUUAAUCGGGACGCGGUACCGGAAUAGAAAGCCACGGCUAACUACGUGCCAGCAGCCGCGGUAAUAC